GACGUAGGGUCCAAGCGUUAUCCGGAUUUACUGGGCGUAAAGCGCGCGUAGGCGGUCUGUUAAGUGCACAAGUGAAAGCUCCGGGCUCAACUCGGAAAUUGCUUUGCAUACUGGCAGGCUGGAGGGACGCAGAGGUCUGUGGAAUUCCUGGUGUAACGGUGAAAUGUGUUGAUAUCAGGAGGAACACCCAUGGCGAAGGCAGCAGACUGGGCGUUUCCUGACGCUGAGGCGCGAAAGCCAGGGGAGCAAACGGG
rnacentral:rRNA from 1 species